rfam:Pan troglodytes isolate Yerkes chimp pedigree #C0471 (Clint) chromosome 1, whole genome shotgun sequence.
GUUUUUAUAAUUGAAAAUGAUGGUUUUUCAUAUCAUUAGUCAUGGUUAUAAUCCUUGUAGGAAUA